rnacentral:rRNA from 1 species
UAGGGAAUCUUCGGCAAUGGGGGCGAACCCUGACCGAGCAGCGCCGCGUGAGUGAAGAAGGUUUUCGGAUCGUAAAGCUCUGUUGUAAGAGAAGAACGUGUGUGAGAGUGGAAAGUUCACACAGUGACGGUAACUUACCAGAAAGGGACGGCUAACUACGUGCCAG